GAAGGUUUGAAUAGCUGAUCUGGUGCAGGCGAGAGUGAAUGUAUUUUCAAAAAACAGGAAGUGCAAGCCAUGAAUAGGGCAACGACAACAAAAGAUGGCUGAUUUAAACAGCGGAUUGGUGUUCUCAAAUCUUGUCUUGUUUUUCCGUUAAUGCCCAUAAACAUCGUGUUGAUUAUUAUGGUAUUUUGAGAUUCACUUGACCUUCUGGACAUCUGACAGAUUUUUUUGUUCCUGAUAUUACUGCGUAUGAGAGAAGAUAGGUACGUACUUCAGUAUCAAAGUGUCUUCAGCCAAAUUUCUAAUGAGUGUACCACUCAUCCUACGAACGAGGUACAAGCACAAGAAUGAACACGAUGUUGACUACGACUUCUACCCAAAAGGAAUACAAUCGAUUACCCCCGCGAUUACCCGGUCGACUACACAAUCAUCACCAUCCAGGCGGUCUUGUCAGCGAGAAUUGGAGCAGAUUUUUAUGAGGAGGUGAUGUUGGAUCAGAUUUGCUAGUGACUGCUUGGUCAUCUUACGGUGAGAUGUUGUCAAGUCUGGCCCUUGUGAGAGGGAAGCUAUAGAGGGAACCUAUCAAAGUUCAAAUUAUCUCUACCCCUCCCCCCUACUCCUCAGACCCAAAUCAACAUCAGUAGCAGCCCUCUACAGAGGCCUUGGAACCAGGGGAGGUUUUUUUUUUUCUUUCCCAUAAACGUGUACAAAAACGUAAAAAUUACCAUCAGAUUUUGAUUUUAUUGCAUGAUCAGCACCCCCCCCCCCCACACACACACACUUUCAAAACCGUUCCGCGGCCUCUCGGCUUUGGGGAAAGUAGCUUCCAUCUCACAAGAGCCAAACUCGACUGGGUGAGACGAGGUCUGACGUCAUUGUUGAGCGACCAAUUCGAGAGGACCUACCGUUUCACCAUCAGGAGGUGGGUGUGGACGAUGAGCAAGAAAAUGAUCGACGAAGGUAAUACCAUGGUGUUGGAAAGUUGACCAGAUGCAGUCUCAUCAUGAUGAGGGGUGAUGCCAGUGAUCAAGGAUCCACUUUGUCUUCUGCCGGCCCCCAAAAUGCCGAGAAACUUAACGUUCCGUCUUCUCUUUGAUCCGUUUUAGGGGGAUAUUCAGACAGAUAAGGUAAAAGGUGAAGAACGAGAUAAGUUAAUCUCCAUUUGCUUUUCCGGCGUAGAUGCACGACUGAAUUGUGCUUUAGUAUUUUUUGUUCUCGUUUAUGUUCCUGUCCCAUAACCAUGAUACUAGAAAGGAGGAUGAGGUGGAGUAGAAGGAGGCGGAAUAUCAUAUAUUUGUAGUUCCGCGUGAAGCUUCUAAUUGUUUAAGACUUAUUUUGGAUUUCGGUAAAAACACCACAUUAUUUUGGUCCAUGGCGAUUCCCUAAUGAAUUCUUGUUAAAUGUGAAUGCAUUAAAGUUAGUCUUCAGAUACUUUAGGGGCAAUGUUCCGUCAAUCUCGGUCGCUUUGCUUCCUCGCAUGAUUCUUCUCAAAAUAUCAUAUUCUCGCGCCCCAUUCAGUUGUUAUAAAUAAAACCACCUUGUCGUACAUGGGUUCAGUUUUUGCAGCAUUCUUAAAGGUUCAAUAUUAAUUUAAAAGAAAUGUUAUCUGAGCGCAGAAAGGCCCCAACAGUUUCAGGCUUUAAUUAUAUCACUUCCCAAUCUGUGAAGCUAAAACAAAAACAAAACAUAACAAAACACUGACAAAACACGCGCGCUUGUGCAAACGAAAAAAAGGAGUUAAUUGAAAUAACGUCUUGAUCACAUUUUCUAACAGCUUUUCUUGUUCGUUCUAUAAGAAAACUGCGCAAGAAAUUGCGUUUUGGGCGAAUUACAACUGGAAUUGUAUUUUAGUGUCAGCCCCUCCCUUCAAAUGUUGGAAGGGGUGUACUUUUUAAUGCCAAAGAGCAAGAGACUCAUAUCACAAUUUUGGGCAGUACCUUAUAGGCCAUAUGCAGACUAGACGCGUGAUAUUUUGUAAAAGAAACCGCAAAGCAAGGAGUCAAAGUGAAAUUGAAUAAAUGCAAUGCUGCAUGGCAACUUUCAACCGAAUCUAGCGAUGAAAACAACAAAUGAGCUAUAUAUCACAUCUCCUCAUUCUUUUCUCCCCCUUGGAAUGCGGAGUCAUUACGCGUUGUGGCCCCACUUUAAUUUUGGCUGGGGAACACUCUAUGGUUACAUCAUUAAAUAGAGGCAUUUUGAUAUUCGCUUUUAUCUUACAAAAGAUAAUUCCACACAAUUGUUUGAUGAUAUUGUUAAUACAAUUUCAUACUUAAUAGUUACGUGCAGUAAGUUUGAGUAUACAGGGUUCCCAAGCCAUUAGGGAAAUCAGGAAUUUUCUCUUCUUCUAAUCAAAUCAGUAAAAGUCUCGUGUUUUGAUAAAAAUGCCUCAAAUUGGGAAAAGUAAUGAAAUUUCGAUUUGCGUAAAAUCGAAGAUCCAUUGGAUGACUGGCUCUUGUUAUUUCUUUUAAAUUUUAGUGAUUCCUCUUUGAAUCCAGAACUGCUUCUCGAUAUAAGAAAAUGGAAAUGGGCUAAAAUAGUUAUCGUGGAAUUUUAAAACUUCAUCAGAGAAAAAUGAGGGGAAAACCAAGGAAAUUAGUUUUUCCUUCAUGCUGGGAACCCUGUUAUAUACUCUCACCAGCUGUAUGGCAAUUUUCAUUUUGAAUGCCAAGGUGUACGUUGCAAUAAAAAAUACAUAUAAAUGUUUCUCUAUUAUUUACAACAGUAUAUGAUUGUCUAGCGAUUUAUACAAUUUAUUUGUCCGUUGGUAAAUUUUUCAUUGAUUGGAACCAUGGCAAAGGGAUUAUUCACAAUAUAUUAUAUAACAAAAUUCAUAUGGAUAAAUUAAAAUACUCUUCAUUUUUCGGUUUAUUUAUGUUAUUGCUUUAGUCAUUGUAAUGUUUUGCCAUCUACUGAAUGAAUGAAUAAAUAAAUAGUGUAAAUUAAAUAAUUAUUCAAAUAAAGCAAUGAAUAAGCAAACAAUAGAUAUAUAGAAUGAUAUAUUUUAUGUGUAUAUUAAAGGACAAGUCCACGCCAACAAAAAGUUGAUUUGAAUAAAAAGUGAAAAAUCCAACAACAUAAAGCUGAAAAUUUCAUCAAGAUCGGAUUUGAAAUAAGAAAGUUAUGACAUUUUUAAAUUCCGCAUAAGUUCACAUAACAGUUAUGUGCACAUACUGGUCUAUAUGUAAAAUGAGGGAACUGAUGAUGACACCCACUCACUGUUUCUUUUGUAUGUGAAAUUAUUAUUAUGUGAAAUAUUAUAAUUUUCCUCUCAUGUGAAGGGACAUUUUAUUCAGCCCUGAACAUUUGAAAUUACCAUUGUUUUAACACUUUCAGUCAACUUGGUCCACUUUGUCAUAUUUGUGAAAAUUGAAAUAUUGUGUUAUUCAAACGAUAAAACAAAGGAAAUAGUGAGGGACACCAUCGACACUCUCAUUUUCAUGUCACUGAUUUGUACAUGUUGUGAACUAUUUUGUGGAAAAUAAGCAAAAGUUUAAAACGUCAUUACUUUCUUAUUUUACAUCCUAUUUUGAUGAAAUUUUCAUAUAUAUAUAUAUAAUACUUGUUGGAUUUGUCUCUAUUGAUUCAAAUCAACAUUUUUAUGGGGUAGACUUGUCCUUUAAUACAUGAAUACACUAAAGCUGAUUCUUUUUUCAACCAAUAUUUUGUUUUUUUAAUGCUUUGAUUUGUUUAGUUUACUUUUGGGGGUGGGGUGGUGGGUCUCUUCAGUCAUAAAUUUAGACACGGUUGGUUCGCAACCAGAAGUACGGUAGAAGUACAUAGUCGAAGUACGUGCAAAAGUAUAUAACAAUAGUAAGCCCAUGGCCUUCCCCCUCUCAGAUGCAAUUUGCAUUAUGAAAACUAUGUGAUAAUCAUAAGGAAGAUUUUUUUAAUAGACCUGGUUUUUUAAAAACAUUUAUGGAAUUCUUUCCUGAAAAAGUAACUUUUAAAUAUAUGAAUUCUCAUGUGAAUUAAUCAAGUCUAAUUUCUCAUGUGAAUUAAUCAAGUAUAAUUUCUUGUUUCACAGUUCAUUAAUUCUCAUCUGACAUGGUCGCCAAAAUAAGUUUUUAUCGAGCAAUUAUGCAUAAAUUUUUAAAGUGAAAAUGUAUAAUUGCAAUCUUUUAAUUGCUGGUAUCUCUCUAUACAUUGGAUAAGUAUGAAUUAUAGUAGGCACAUGAUUAAAUUUAGGAAUUUAUUAUGUUGCCUGGAUGAAAUAAUCGUGUUA